GACGAACGCUGGCGGCGUGCCUAAUACAUGCGAGUAGAACGCUGAAGGAGGAGCUUGCUUCUCUGGAUGAGUUGCGAACGGGUGAGUAACGCGUAGGUAACCUGCCUGGUAGCGGGGGAUAACUAUUGGAAACGAUAGCUAAUACCGCAUAACAGUAGAUAUCGCAUGAUAUCUACUUGAAAGGUGCAAUUGCAUCACUACCAGAUGGACCUGCGUUGUAUUAGCUAGUUGGUGAGGUAACGGCUCACCAAGGCGACGAUACAUAGCCGACCUGAGAGGGUGAUCGGCCACACUGGGACUGAGACACGGCCCAGACUCCUACGGGAGGCAGCAGUAGGGAAUCUUCGGCAAUGGACGGAAGUCUGACCGAGCAACGCCGCGUGAGUGAAGAAGGGUUUCGGAUCGUAAAGCUCGGUUGUAAGAGAAGAACGAGUGUGAGAGUGGAAAGUUCACACUGUGACGGUAUCUUACCAGAAAGGGACGGCUAACUACGUG
rnacentral:rRNA from 1 species